GACGUAGGGCGCGAGCGUUGUCCGGAUUUAUUGGGCGUAAAGAGCUCGUAGGCGGCUUGUCGCGUCGACUGUGAAAACCCGCGGCUCAACUGCGGGCCUGCAGCCGAUACGGGCAGGCUAGAGUUCGGUAGGGGGAGACUGGAAUUCCUGGUGUAGCGGUGAAAUGCGCAGAUAUCAGGAGGAACACCGGUGGCGAAGGCGGAUCUCUGGGCCUUACCUGACGCUGGAGGCGCGAAAGGCUAGGGGGAGCAAACAAGG
rnacentral:rRNA from 1 species